rnacentral:rRNA from 1 species
CACGUAGGGCGCGAGCGUUGUCCGGAAUUAUUGGGCGUAAAGGGCUCGUAGGCGGCCAACUAAGUCAGACGUGAAAUCCCUCGGCUUAACCGGGGAACUGCGUCUGAUACUGGAUGGCUUGAGUUUGGGAGAGGGAUGCGGAAUUCCAGGUGUAGCGGUGAAAUGCGUAGAUAUCUGGAGGAACACCGGUGGCGAAGGCGGCAUCCUGGACCAACACUGACGCUGAGGAGCGAAAGCCAGGGGAGCAAACGGG